UACGGGGGGGGGGCAAGCGUUGUUCGGAAUUACUGGGCGUAAAGGGCUCGUAGGCGGCCAACUAAGUCGGAUGUGAAAUCCCCAGGCUCAACCUGGGAACUGCAUCCGAUACUGGAUGGCUUGAAUUCGGGAGAGGGAUGCAGAAUUCCAGGUGUAGCGGUGAAAUGCGUAGAUAUCUGGAGGAAUACCGGUGGCGAAGGCGGCAUCCUGGACCGGUAUUGACGCUGAGGCGCGAAAGCCAGGGGAGCAAACGGG
rnacentral:rRNA from 1 species